UGCGGUGGAACUGCUUUACCCAACAUCCAUACUUUUUAUGGGAUUACUGCAUUAUUGUAGAAACUAUUCUGACUGGCAUCACGUCCAUGUCCUUUGGGGUUACUAGUAAGUAGAUGUCGAGGUAAAGGGACAAAAAGAAGAGCUGACUGGUGAACUAUCUGCAAAUUCAAGGUCAAAUGUAUUAUGUUCUUGCCCUGUUGUUUUCCAAGUUUGACAGUUACAUCAUAAAAGGCUCAGUUUGAGAAAUCAAAAAAAUCAAGUGAGCAUCCCUUUCUAUACAUCAUGUCAUAACUCAUAUAUUUGCAUGAAUGCAAUACAUUACAUUCCAGUUCUAUACACUAAUUAUCCAUUAUCUGACCAUUAUCCAUUAUCUGACUAUUUUUGAACCUUCUGUUUUUAACAGCACAUUUCUAUUCUACAGAGAUGGGUGGAAUUCCAUGGAAAAGUACACCUUACACAAAAUCUACACACGUAGUCUUAACUCUCUGGCCGAUUGUGGUAACAGGGUACCUGUUCUGAGAUCAAGGUGCGAAACAAAUAAUUACCCAAUUACCCAAAAACUAUUAAGAGGUGAGCCAGUACUGACAAUACACUUUUGGUGUAACACAAGCAAGGGGACACUGAAGCAUCUGCUGUCUAUCAGGGUAAAAUUACAGGUUAUGAAAAAGGCCCCAUGGACUUCUGAGAAAAAAAUAAAAGCAUUCUCUGACAAAAGCUUGUAACCUCCUACAAUAUAAUAUUUACUUAUGCUGUUUGCUCCAUCUGAAUGCCUUCCUCUUUCUUUUUGUUUAUUCUGUGCAUAUAAAAAACUUUUUUUUAACUGCUACUUUCACGCAUUUGAGAAAAUAAUUUAUCCAAAACAUUUUUUUUUUUUUUUUUUACACAAGUAAAUGUUCACAGUCAAACUAAAAGUUAAGACUAGUUAAGAUCAGC